GUGAGUCAUCGAAUCUUUGAACGCAUAUUGCGCCCUCUGGUAUUCCGGGGGGCACGCCUGUUCGAGCGUCAUUUAAACCAUCAAGCCCAGCUUGGUCUUGGAUGCGGUCGAGUGACCCGUCUGCAACCCGUUGGCGGCGCAGUACAGCUUCAAGCGUAGCAGAAACUAUCGCUUCAGGAGCUCGCGGCGGCGCCUGCCAGGCAACGGCCACCUUAAAGUUUGACCUCGGGUCAGGUGGGGAUACCCGCUGAACUUAAGCAUAUCAAUAAGCGGAGGA
rnacentral:misc_RNA from 1 species